rnacentral:rRNA from 1 species
GACGAACGCUGGCGGCGUGCUUAACACAUGCAAGUCGAACGGUGAAGCGCCUUCCUUUUUGGUGGGUGUGGAUGAGUGGCGAACGGGUGAGUAACACGUGAGUAACCUGCCCCCUUCUUCUGGAUAACCGCAUGAAAGUGUGGCUAAUACGGGAUAUUCUGGGUCUGUCGCAUGAUGGGUCUGGGAAAGAUAUUGUUUCGGUGGGGGAUGGGCUCGCGGCCUAUCAGCUUGUUGGUGGGGUGAUGGCCUGCCAAGGCGGUGACGGGUAGCCGGCCUGAGAGGGUGAGCGGUCACACUGGGACGGAGACACGGCCCAGACUCCUACGGGAGGCAGCAGGGGGGAAUAGUGCACAAUGGGCGCAAGCCUGAUGCAGCGACGCCGCGUGGGGGAUGGAGGCCUGCGGGUUGUGAACCUCUUUCGCCAGUGAAGCAGGGCUGCCUCGUUUGUGGGUGGGUUGACGGUAGCUGGAGAAGAAGCGCCGGCUAACUACGUG